AUUGAACGCUGGCGGCAUGCCUUACACGUGCAAGUCGAACGGCAGCACGGGUGCUUGCACCUGGUGGCGAGUGGCGAACGGGUGAGUAAUACAUCGGAACAUGUCCUGUAGUGGGGGAUAGCCCGGCGAAAGCCGGAUUAAUACCGCAUACGAUCUACGGAUGAAAGCGGGGGACCUUCGGGCCUCGCGCUAUCGGGUUGGCCGAUGGCUGAUUAGCUAGUUGGUGGGGUAAAGGCCUACCAAGGCGACGAUCAGUAGCUGGUCUGAGAGGACGACCAGCCACACUGGGACUGAGACACGGCCCAGACUCCUACGGGAGGCAGCAGUGGGGAAUUUUGGACAAAGGGCGAAAGCCUGAUCCAGCAAUGCCGCGUGUGUGAAGAAGGCCUUCGGGUUGUAAAGCACUUUUGUCCGGAAAGAAAUCCUUGGCUCUAAUACAGUCGGGGGAUGACGGUACCGGAAGAAUAAGCACCGGCUAACUACGUG
rnacentral:rRNA from 1 species